ACCUGAAGAACUGCUCACAUUAGAGACACAAGUUGUUAAUUUUUUGAGCAGCAAGAACAUUGAUCUGGACAGUGAGAACAUUUCAGCCUGCCACAGCCUUCCACGUAAGGAUAAAAAUGCCAAACCAACCGUUGUUGUUCAGCUUACCAACAGAAAGUAUAAGUUUAAUUUAUUAUGACAGGCAAAAAAAUUAAAGGGCACAGGGGUGUACAUAAAUGAACAUUUGACAAAAAAAAUGCUGAAAUAGCUAGACAUAGCCGUAUGCUUAGAAAACAAAAUAAAAUUCAAGCAACAUGGAUAAGGAAUGGGAAAACAUUUAUCAAGUUAAAUGGACCACCAGAGCAGGCAAAGGUGAUUGCAGUGAGGAAUUUGAGAGACCUUGAACAAUACAAGUGAUAUAGGCGAUGGGCCGAGUACGUCUAUCUGCUUUCGUUUACGAAACAAUUGAUCCCCUGCCGGUAAUUUUCAGAUUUUUUAGUAUUGUGUAGAUAAAUUAUCAUAUAACAUAUAAGUUAAUGUUUCCAACCUCAAAAGUUGCACAUUUUCAUAAAUAACGUUGAUAUAUUCGUCACACGAGCUAAUGGAUAUGCUGCUAGCUCCAGCAACCACAAACCAAUGAGAGCUCUUGUUACUACUUCGUGGACUUCAGUUGGCCAAUCAGAUUCCUCGUACUUCUGGUAAAGCCAUAACACGACGUUAACAACUGGUUAAGGGAUGAGAGCAAACGAAGGAAAAGUAGCAUGGCUGAAUGGUACAGGUGUCUGUCUGUGGAGAAGUCAGAGACUGUCACUACACAACCAGGUUUAAUGGUGAAAUGCAGGUAUCGUGUGUAAUUUGCAAAGCAACUGUGGUGAUACAUGGCCUCUGACGCAACAAGAUAUCUUCCAUGGAUUUGAAGCAACAGGUGUUCAUCCUUCUUCCCCUCAGCAGCACGAAGGAGUUGAUCUGCUGUGGUAAACAAAGUUUAUACUCAGCAGGCAUGCAACAGGCAGGAGGUGUGGAGCCCUUUUGGGUUGUUCUGGGCCACUUGAAGAGCGCAAAACCCGAACCUUGGAUGCAGCACCAUCACUGGUAUCUGGCAGCAGUUCUUCUGAACAUUGUAAUGGCACUAAAAUGUAAGUUACAAGUGAUCAAUAAAUGGAAAUGAUCUAAAUUCACAUUGUUUCUAACAAUUGUAAAUAAAUAAAAAAAACAUACUUCUGA